rnacentral:sRNA from 1 species
UCUGUGCGCUCUCGGCCCACCACAUACUGGCAGCGCUGGAACUCCAUCUCCAAACGAUACAGCUGUUCUGCUGUGAAGGAGAGUAAGGAAUAACUGGCACAGACCAGAGACAAGGCCUCACGUCCAGAGGAGAUGGAUUAGAACUGAAUGUGGUCAGUCAUAGAAGGCUUUCUGGAGACUCGGAGCCCUGUUCCCUCCUGGGGUCCAUAAGGAGGUUAGUGGAUGUGAACAAGGGGGCACAUUUGGAACUGAAAACCCCAGGAGGCGCCCAAGGACUGGUACCACCUUGCCAGGCUGCUGGGUUAUCUUCCAGGGAACUAUUGCGCUUGCUGUGUCCCCGAACUCCUGAGCCACCUCGGGCUUUAGUGUGUUUUCACAGCCUCUCUGGUGCUUUGGAGUCCAUCUAAGAAGUGCCAAAGACCUGCAGCCCAUGAUCACCAUCAGCACAGAGCAGCGGGGAAGGGAAAGGCUUUAAUCUAAGCUCUCUGUCACGGAUCUGUUAGCACGGGCAAUAACCGACAGUGAAUCAGGCAGCACUGUACCUGUGAGCCAUCCACCACAAAAGAGAAGUAGCAGCAGGUCCCCACUAGAGGAGGAGAGCAGCCUGGAAAGCUUACCACCACCUCAGGAGGACAUGGUGCUGCACCCCUGCAAUCCCAGCACAUGGGACGUGAAAGCAGGAGGGCCAGGAGUUCAAGGCCAGCCUGGCACAUAAGAGACCCCGUCUUAAAACAAAACAAACCAAACAACAACAACGACAAUAACAAUAAUUUAGCAACUAGGCAGCCCUUGUUCAGGAAGCCCCUGCAAAUGCCACCUCCUGCACAAGAACCUUCCACUUCCACCAGGGGGCGCAGAGGUGGCGUUUGCUGUGUGCUGGGAAGCUACUCCUAGACUGGCUUCUGUGCCAAAUCCUAAGAAGGGUGAGAUAAGGCUGUAGAUUCUGCUCAGUAGUGAAAAGUAGUUACUGUUUUUGCAAAACAAAACAAAACAAAACAAAACAAAAACAAAAACAAAAAAACAAAACAAAAACAAAAAACAAAAACAAACAAAAAACUCUGGGUUCUGUUCCCAGCACACGUUUGGAGGCUCACAACACCUACAACUCCCCUUUGGGGGAUCCUACACUCUCUUUUGGUCUCAUGGGUACACAUACACACGUGCACAUAUGUCCCCAUAGCAUUUACAUGUAAUUAAUUUUAAAAGAUUUAAAAGCAGGAGACUUGUGAAGGAGUCCAGAGGUGUGAGGGUGGGGCUAAGAGGGUAGUGACUCUAGUCAUAAUGUAGGCAAUCCCUGCCCUGGGUCUGGUGUUGGUCUUAAGUUUGAACCUUCCCAGUGUCUCCAUGGAGAUGGAACUGUCAUUUCCCACUUUACAGAGGAGGAGCAAGUUUUAAGUAACUUCCUGAAGGUCCCACUGUCAGCAUUCAAUAAACCCUGAUACGCCCUGAUUAUGCCAACAGUAAUAAGAAGUCCCACCACUAGGGUGAUACUAGCAGGAAGACUCAGGUUCAAGGCUAGCCCAGGCUCCAUGGUGAGAGCCUUUCUCCACAAACAGAAGCAGCAGCAAGCAGGGUCUGGAGAUGUAGGUCAGUGGAGCAGCUUGCCGAGGAGGCACAAGGUUCAAUCCCCAGCAUGGAAACCACAGCUGCGGUCCAGCCUUGCUUCAUGAGCACACGCGGGCCAUCCUUACUAUAGCAGUCGACAAGUCUCAGCCAAGAGUUUAGCAAUGAGUAAAGAAGGAAUCUUCUGGAGAAGCCCAUUGUUCCUUUGGAGAACACUAGACAGGAUAUCUGUUGGGAUGCUGCCCGUCUUUCAGCCCCAGAGGACUAUGGUCCUACUUUUAGAAUCUCGGCUCCAGAUCAGUAGCCUUAGCCGCUCCUUCCCGUGCCCUGACUUUAUGGCUCCUGUUUGCUUCAGUGGAUGUUCAGCCUUCAGGGUGAGCUCUGGCUCUGGUCCAUCUCACCUUCAUGUUCAGUCAGCCCUGGAAGCAGGAAAUAAGAUGUUUUCCAGCACCAUGCUAAAACCAUACGACGAGAUGCUGCUCAUCAGAGAAGAAGGAUCAGUGUUGAUAAGCUCGGUGCACACAGUGAAGAAGCCGGACCUGGAAAAAGUCGUGGCUCAGUGGUUAAGAGCACCGGUUGUUCUUCCAGAAGACCUGGGUUCUAAUCUCAGCACACUCAUUUGUGACUCUAGUUCCAGGGGAUCUGAUGCCCCCUUCUGGCCAUCCCAGGCGCUACAUGCAUGUGGUGCACAGCCGUACCUGCAGGCAAGACAUUUACAUACAUGCAAAAUGAGUUCAAAGACACCCUGGAUUACAUGGGUACAACUUCAGGACAGCAAUGGCUCUCAAGUUAAGAACACUUGCUGCUCUUGGAAAGGACUUGGUUUUGGUUCCCAGCAGCCAGGUCAGAAUUUACGGCUGCCUGUAACUCUACCUGCAAGGCGUCUGCCUCUGGCCUCUGAGGGCACCUGUACUUUUGUGCCAUACCACACAGAGACAUACUAUAGAAUUAAAAAUAAAAUAAGUCUUUAAAAUUUUUUAAGAAAGGAAAAAGGCCUUCGUGCUGAGACAACGCUUCUGCAUUUCAGCCACUUUAUGGAGGUAUGAGUGAGAGGAGGAGUCACAGGACUGUUAGACACGCAGUGAGGGACAGCACAAAGGAUGGAGCUCGGGAGGUCGAUGGCUGUUUCUCAGCCUUCCCCACUCACAAUUUUCUAUGUGAUUUUUCUUGUUUGCUUUUUGCUUUACUGUGUGUUUUGAGGCAAAACUCCUGAAAUCUAAGUUAGUCUGGAACUCUCUAUGUACCCUGAACUGGUCUUGAACUUUUGACUCUCCUGGCUCCUGGCUCCUGACUGCUGGGAUUACAAUUGUGCACCACCAGGCCUGACUCUGUCCUCUGACUUUGAUGAUGUGCUGCAAAUGCUCCUGAUGAGGGAAGCCAGGCAGGGUGGUGGUUACUUGAGAUCUUUCUGCACCGGUUGUACCACUUCUUGUGGCUCUAAAAGGAUUUCAAAAUAUGAAGCUAACCACAACAGAAACAAAGAACAAAGCCAGGGUUCUAUGUUGUCACCAAAUACACAGAUUCGUCAAUGGAGAGAGAGGACAGUAGUGGUCCCCUGCGUCUCUGUGUACCCUGUGGCUAUAAGAUGAUUUAAAACAGCACAUGAGAAAUGCCUGCCAUUUUGAAACUUAUUUUAAUGUUUGCUAGGAACAGUUUAAUCCAUGUGUAGGUUAAAUUUGAAUGAAAUUGUCCCCCAUGGACUCAGAUGGUUGGUUUGAACACUUAGUCUCCAGAAGGAGGCGACGUUUGGUUCUAGGAAGUGUGGUCUUGCUGGAGGAAGUCGCCUGGAGCAGGCUUUGAGAGUUCCCAGUACACACUUUCUGCCUAGUGAUUGCCAUUCAGGAUGUGAGUCUCAGUUUGCUAGUCGAGCUGUCAUGUUUGCCUGUUGCUAUACUUCCCCUGCCAGGAUGGUGAUGAACUCCGAUUCCUCUGGAACCAGAAGCCCAAAUAAACCUUUUCUCUUAUGA